rnacentral:lncRNA from 1 species
CUGACUGAUCUGCAUGAUGAGGUUAAAGUGUUUCAGCAGCACUGUGGAGGAGAAAACCUGUGUGUGUACAAAGGAAAGCUCCAUGAAGGAGAGACAUUCCAGUUUAUUUCAAGGCGACACAGAGGAUUCCCCUUCAGCUUGACCUUCUUCCUGAAUGGGCUGCAGGUUGAGCGGCUGAGCUCCUGCUGUGAGUUCAAACACAGGAAAGGCUCCCGACUUGGAGGCAGGCACGGACAUUUUGGCUUCUCCAGUGUAGAGGGGGCCUCUCCCUGCUACAAGUGCAUCAUUGCAAUGGGACUGGACAAAAAGCCCACUCCUCCACCAAAGAGGGUCAAAGAGGAUGGGGUAAGACGGGAAUCAGUCACCAGCCCAAAAGAUGCACCUGAGAUGGAGACAGAGAGGACAGGGGAGGACGCAGCCUCCCACUCAGAGUGUGAAACCAGCCAGCCACAAGGCAUGGAGAUUCAUGUCAAAGCAGAACCAGCACCCGAGGAAGAUAAAGUCAGAGAUGAUUAUGAAGAAGACUUUGAAGCAGACGACGAGGGCCCUGCUGAAGGUGCAGAGGCAAAGCAAAGGAAAUCAACAUCUCCAACCACUGAACCUGAAAAGGAGGUUAAUGAGAAAGAUGCCUCUGAAACUGAAGACGUGGAGAAGGAUGAAGACAUAAGGUCUCGUUCAGGCUCCAGCUCCUCAGGCAGCGAUCAGGAAGAGGCUGAUGCUGAAGUCGAAAAAGAGGAUGAGAAAACAGAGCAACCUAAAGAUGUGGACCAAGAGGAAACCGUCUCCCCACCAGAUGAAAAAGAUGAACCAAAGCUCGAAGAAGCUGCUGCAGCCACAGAGGGCAACUCUGCCAUGACCAAAGAUUCAGAUAUGCAGGACAGUGCCGGUGACAGCACAGAGAUAGAGAUUUCUGACACCAGCCUCCCAUCAGGGAACGAGAACAGACACAGUGAGGACACCUCAGGAGGCAAAGACACUGAGAAAGCAUUAGAGGGGAGCAAGGAAAAGGAGAGGGCUAAAUCUGUGCAGGAGAAGCUGGCAGAAGCUAUACUGAAGGAGUCCCAGUGCAGCUCUGAGCCUGAACUGAGUGACACCAGCACAGAAGAGGAGGAGG